GCAUGCUUAUCAGUUUGCCCUUCUCAAACUCACUUUGUUCAUUUGUCCAUUCACUCAAACUUUUCUUGAGAAUCUACUGUGUGCUCAGCACUGACUCUGAGAGCUGUCAAUAAGGAUAGCUCAAAAGAUAGGUUCUAUUGUCAGAUAAGUUUUAGAUACACUCUCCGUGGCAUUGCGUUUCUUUGAACUAUAAUAAGCAUCUUCUGUUUAUCAGGUAGUACCCAUUCUUCUAUAUUACUACAUCUGAGAAAUCCUUUAUUUUAUUCAUAUUUUCCAUAAUUAUUGGAAUUCUUUUUUUCUCCAAGCCCUCUUUCCAUUAUGAAACCGAGUAAUAACACUAGAAUCCUAGAGCAAUGGUUGAAAGAUUAGCUUUGGCAAAUACUGGUGUAAUACGGAGACAGAAUAACAGUUAGAACUAAUCUUGUUACAUAAAUUUCUAAUGGUAAUGCUGAUAGACUGAUAAACCAGAGAACAUUAGUAGGAAUCAAGUGCAUUAUACUUCUUAAACAUGGAUUCCUCAAAGAAUCAAGGUUCUGGAUAUGCCAAGUUUAAAGUCUGGAACCUUUCACUAAUGGGCACAAAACUAAUAAUGUAAACAUUAAUGAUUUAAGUAUUAAAAAUUUAAUUAUUAAUUUAAUUAAAAUAUUAACUACUUUAAAUUUUUAAAAAUAUAAAUCGACCAAUUGAUUCAAUCAGGUAGACUGGAAGGUAAAUUUAUUUCUUCAAAAAGAUCGAUGUGGUGUUUUCUGCUAAGACCUAAUGGCUUUCUUUCAACAAUAUAUCAGACUCUUAAAAAUGCAGAGAUUUGUUAAAUUUUUAGAAUUGAACUUCAGGAAAUUUAUAAUAAAAUUUCAAAACUAGCUAGCCAACAGUUCUAAACAGAUUAAGAUGACAGGAUAUUCCCCAUCUUUUAUUUUUAAAGUUUAAAGUUUUAUUUUUAUUUUUGUUAAGAGUUAAUAUUACAACGAAAUAUAUCUUCUUUGAGUGUCACUUCUCAGGUGCUCAGGAUAAGUGGCAGUCUGAGCUGUCAAUUCAAUUUCUGUUGCUAUCUAGGCUGAAAGGAAAUACAAAUACAUACACAGCAGAAGGUAACAGCAACAAUUAUAUUCCACAGAUCUGUGUAAUUUAUGAAGAAAAGAGGAAUCCAGUUCAGGAAAUGCAUGAAUCUCCUAAAAAAAUCUUCACCAUAGAACUAUUACUAUUAUCUUUCUGAUAUUAUAUUGAAAAUGAAACACAUUCACCAAUUCUCCAAAGGCAAUUUCUCUUCACCUCAAAUAAAUCUCCCUUAUAGGCCAUAUAAAUAGAAUUAAACUGUCACAUAAUGUUUCCAUUUGUUUUCCUGCAGAAUAAACUCAUUACAACCAGCCCAUUAGAAGAUGAUAUUAAAGGAUUUAAUUGCCUGUGCAUAUUAAAUAUGUUUAAAAUUUAUGAAAAUAAACAUUUUCAAAUUGAGUAAAUACACUGCAAUGAUAGAAAUGGGAAUGUGGAUUUAAUGCAAAUUCUUACGGUAAUGCGGAUCCAUAGCACUACCAUGGACUGGAUGUGCCUCCUUGGAGCAUGUAUAGAUGUUCCAGGCCAGAAUCUAAGCCACACAAGGGCAGAAAUCCAUUUGGAGGCACAUGUGGAAUUGCUAAUAGAUUAUAAAUGGCAAUUUAGUCUAUGCAGGCAAUAUCUUUGGAUGAAAUAUUGCAUUUAUGAUAAUCAGGGGAGACUUACAACAAUUAACAUGGUUGGUGUUUUCCAGGGCUGGCCACUGAGCUCAAGGGAGUGUGUGUAUUUGACCUUGUGUCCCUUACACUUUCCGAAUAGCAUGGUUCAUAGUUUCCUGAUGGACAGCUGCCAAUUAUUAAAAGAGAAGCAGGAUGGAACAGUCCAACUUUCGGGGGGCAGAGGAGGAGUUCAGUUGUUCCAGGCCUGUUUCCCCACCACCCUGGCAGAUGGUUCAACAGCCAGGUUGCAGUGGCUUGAAGGCAGAAAGAAAGAUUUCUCCCUUAAUCUUUUCAAAAUCGCCAACAAAAGUCAAGUCAAAUUCUUUUAAAAAAGAAAAGAGCAGCUCGUCACUUUUUUGAGAAUCUUCUCUUGAGUCUUCAUGUGGCUCAGGAUUCUGCAUUGUUCUUCUUCCAUAUCUUGAACCUCCAGCACGAAGACUCACAAGACUCUUUUGAAGGAUAUUUGUUGAACAAAAGAGUUAUAUUCCACUCUUGGCACAUCGCUGUGAAGCUUAAUUACUGUCUGUCCCUCUAUGGGGUUCUUGAUGCCUUCCCCUGGACCAUAGGCCAAACCCAAAUCCUGAUCCUCUGGCUCCGGAUCUGCCCAACUGAAUCCACCAACCUCUUUUGAAGAAGCUGGGCACUAACCGCACAGCCAGGGUAGAGCUCAGUUGCACCAAGUUACAGUUAGGAAGAACACCCAGAGUUAGCAGGAAGCCACGCUGGCAUGCACAGCCAAGGUCAAAUAUCAACGGCACCGAUUUUGAACCUUAAAUUAAAAGGCUGGAGAAGUAUAAGAGAUUAAGGCUGCAGGUUUUAUUAAGCAUCAGAGAGAAGAGGAAGUGGUAGGGAAUGAUUGACAGUGCUUCAAGGAGACAAAAGGUCAGUAUGGUAUAGCAUUGAGAUGUUGCAGACAGGCAGGGGAUGGAGUCCUUGAAUCAAAAGACUCAGAGGUUCACCAAGUAGCUUCCGAAUGCCCUUGCAUAGCAUUCAUAUUUUUAUUCUACAAUGCUCAUCAAAAGAAACUCAUGAGUCCUCAUUCAUCAUUCAACAUAUAUUUAUUAUAAGGUCAUGUGAGCAGUUAUAUCAUUGUUUAAUUCAUUCAUUCAACAAAUUUACUAUUUGGACUAGAAUCUCUAUUUUGUCACUUACUAGUCAUGUGACCUAUACAAAGUAUUUAACCUCCCUGCCCAGUUCUUUAUCAGUUAAGAGAUGAAUAGUAUUUCUGGGAUUUAUCAUAAGGAUUAAAUGAGUACUGUGAACACUAUGAGACACGUACGGAAAUAUCAACACAUUUCCUGGGCCUAUUUACUAAAUAUUGUGAAUUGGACCAUGGACCCAAAAGUUGGGUUGAAGUUCCAAAUGCAUAUUCAUGAACAGAACCAUGUUUUCAAAUAGGAUUCUUACAAAUGUAAUCAAGUUAAAAUGGGUGCAUCAGAGUGCACUUUAACCCCACAUGACUGGUGUUUUUGUAAGAGGAGUGACAGAGGGAAGACUGCCCUGUGGCUGCUGAAGACACCUGGAGAGUGAGAAGUAGAAGAGCAUCCUCCACCAGAGAUGUCAGAGUGAGCCCGACACUGCCAGCACCUUCUCCCAUAACUUCCAGCCUCCAGCACUGUGCAAGAAUUCACUUCUCCUGUGUUAAGCCACCAGUCUGAGGUAAAGACACCCCUGAUUUACCGAGGCUCGCCUUCACAACUGCAUCAAAGUGAUACGCAUUUGACAGAGUCUGUACCUCCAACUUUGAAUUCUGAUGUCCUCCUGGGUCAGUGAUGUGCAGUACAAACUCUCUCCAGAUGAUGAGAAGUGUCAGUGGCCCUGCAUACCUGUCAGCUGUGUGACCACAAGGGGAAACCAUCAGAGGUCGACUUUGCACUGCGCUGCUCAGCAUGAUGCUUGGUAGGUCAAGUGUAUUUAGUGCAUUUCCACUUAGAAUAUUUUCAACUUAUGACCAGUUCAGGGUGCUUGACCCCAUCAUAUAUUAAGAUGUAAUCCCAUUGUGAGUGAAGGAGAAUUUGUACUUUGAUAGAACACCCCUAAGAGACUAAUACCCUGAGUAGCUACUCUGCUUCGGAGACUCUUCCAGUUUCUGAUGAACAAAUGCCAAAGAGUGUGAAUUUUUUCCUAAGGAUUAUGUGAAACCAUGAGGGAAUGUAUAUGAUCGAAUGUUCAUGUGCAUGGACACAGAGAAGAUGUAGUGCAAGAAAAACGCUGCAGGGAGGAAAAGCAGUUAGGAGGUGGCUGUAGUAGUUCAAGGAAAACAAUGACUCGUGGCCUGAGAAGACAUUGAUAUAGAGAGAAAGUAGGCAUCGAGAAAAUGUUCUGAAGAUGGAAUUCUCAGUUUUGGUGAUAGACAGGGAGAAAAGUAUGAAAGGAGAGGUUUCUGGCCCUAACUGAAUGGCAGUGGAGUCACGUGCAAAGACUGAGAGUGAAGAGGCCUGGGGCCAGAAGAAGAUGCUAAGUGACGCUACACACGUUGGAGUUGAGAUACUGAAAGACAGAGGAGAGAGCCCUGUAGGCAUCUGGAUGAGUUUGGCGUAUGGGUCAAACAGAUCUGAGCAGGAAGUAUAAAUUUGGGAAUUAGCAUGUCGAUGUCAAGUGGAGCACAUUACAUCAUGAAAUCAUAUAAAGCCAGGGAAUGAGUCUUACCUUGUGAAGCAGCUUCAAUCAUGCAAAAAAAAAAAACCCAACAAAACCUUUUCAUACAUAUCCAUGCACAUUUUUCUGGAGUAGACACAGAGCUUUGUUCAGAUUCUCAAAGGCAUCAAUGACUCAAAAAGAAGCUGAGAACUACCAGCAAAAAGUAUGAGCAGAAAAGUGCCCGAGACCAAACACCAAAGCAUCUAAGUUCUAAGAUCACCUUAAAAGAGUAUCUUGACAGGCUGACCAAAUAGGUGGAAGAAAACUCUAGACUCCUAAAUCAAGGCAGCGACAAUUUUUAAGCUAUGCAUACUGGCACCAGUAUCAAAGGGCCAAAAACUCAAAAUACGAGGAGUUAUUGUGAGCUUCUCAAGGGCAAUUUAAAGUGAACUGGUUUGAGCACAAAUCUUUAGGUUGAUGGGUAAAUGACAGGUGAGAGAGGAGACCCUGAAAUUUUUAUAAAAUAAGAAAAUUUUAUCCUUUAAUUAAUUCCAAGAUUAAUAAACAGGAUUUAUUGUGUGUAUUUCAAGAUGGUAAAUUAACUCUCAUUUGUUCCUAUACCUGUUCUCCCUUUAUUUUUCUUAGAAACCCUGUUUAUUUUCCUGUUAUUUUCUUCUGUUUCUUCACUAAAAGGAAAGUCAAAGGAAAAAAAUCUACAAUGAAAAUUGUUAGGCCGACAGAGAAACUAAAAGUAGUAGGAUUCACAUUGGGUACCAAAAUACAAGCUAGUGAAUUUUAAAAAUAAUGUAUGUAUUAAAAUGUAUUUAUAUAGUGUUGUUGUAUAACACACUUCAUAUUUAUGAGUCAGCACUCAAAUGACAGUUGAGUUCAUUUAUAGAGAGACAAUCAUCAGGCUGGACAGGCAAAAAGAUGUAACUUCAAAGGCUUUGAAGAUUCCGGGCAGGAUCCUGGGUUAUAUCUAAAUCGUGUGUGUAUUUUUAUUAUCAACCAAACGAUUUCAGGGCUGCAUCCUGGUGAACUGAAAAACAAGUUGUUCAAAUUUUUGUAUUUCAAAAGAUGGUUAGGCAUCACAGAAACAAACACAUUGUUAUUGUUAAAGACAACUGUUCUUUUUUUUUUUUUUAAUAAAACUAUUCUGUAAAGGGAACGAGGAUAAUGCUGGCAAUGUGGUUUACUUUUCUUUAAAGGGACAUCUCUUCUGUGGAGUCUGUUAUGGCAGAAUUGAGAAUGCUUCCUCCCCGCCUCCACAUUUUACGAUCGUAGUUAGUGUAAAUGCUUAGGUCUGCUCACUGUUUUGCAUGUCCAGUUCUCUCUACUACUUGUUAAGGCUUGGGGGAGGCAGGGAGUGUAUGAAAUUCAUCUUUGUAUUCCCCUAUCAAUAACACAAUAACUGGAACAUUAAAGUGCAUCAAAUGAAUGAAUUUUAAUUAUUUACCCCAAUAUAUCUAAGUUCUGGUUCAUGUCUAGAUGUCCUCCCAAACCUCAAGUGCUCAGAGGUGGGGCUUUUUGGAGAUGAGUGGAUCAUGGGGCUUCUAGCUGAAUUACUGUUGGAAGGAGGGGUCUGGACAGAAGAGGCAGUCACUGUGGGCAUGGCCUGGAAGGGUCUGUCUCCCUUCCUGCUCCUCUUCCAUUUCACUUUGCUGCCAUGCCAUAACCCAUUCUCCUUGCCAUGCCAUUUGCCUUGGAGCCAGUCAAUUAUGUACUGAAAUCUGCAAACCAUGAGCCAAAAUAAACCUCUCCUCCUUUGAGUCAUGGUUGUUGGGUAUUGAGUCCCAGUGAUGGGAAAGUAAUUAAGACAAUCUAUUAAUUGCAUCUUGAGCUUUCAUUUGUGUAAUAAGAAUUGGAAUUUUUCUGUUGCUUCAUUGUUAAAGAUGACUAUUUUUGCAUAAUGCGUUUGGAACAUUAUUAAUAAGACAAUGGAAAAGAAAAUGUCACAAUUCAUUUGAAAUGCAAAGAGCCAAUAAACAGCAGUUAAAUAACAGACAUUAAAUGUUGCACAUAUGUCAAGUAAUAACAAGAAUUCUUUUCCUAGAAUUUGAAACAUUGUUAAGUGCAAUUGGUAUGACAUUAGAAUUUUUUAAGGCUAACACAGGGUCUGAUGUAGAUUAAGAGUUAUGUGCAUUAAAAGAGGAGAGAACAGUGAAUUACCAGAAGCAUUACUACUGACAGAAGACUCUAUAACUUCAAAGCUUGUUAUAUGACAUGACAUGAGUGGUUGAAAUGCAUAUGGCUGGGGAGAUACCAAGAAUAGUUCUCUUGGGUCUCAGUAGUUGCACUUUUUAUAGUGCUCCUCAGGGAUUAUAAAUAGACCCAUUUAGGAAGGAGUUCCUACUACCACACUAAUACAAAGCACAACCAAAGUGUCAACAACAACAAAAACAACAUACAUACAUACCAGUGGAUAAACGCACUGAAUUAGAGAUUUAUUUAGUUUUCCAACUCUAUCUGCAGUAAUGAUGAAAGAGGCAACGAGAAUUUUCAAAGUUGUUCUGAUCAAAUUAUAAUUAACAAUCAUGCAUAGAAAGAGGAAACCUUGUUUCUAUAGUCAUAAAAAUUUAACAUGGCAAGGUUCACUUGGUUAACAUUAAAACACAAAACUGGAUGCCAUGUGUUCACAACUCCUUGUGGAAUUUUAAAAUAUAGAGUGGUGGUUUUAGCUUGCUAUGUAGGGUCACCCAGGUACACAUUCCUGCAAUAUUUAAGAGAUUUUACUAAUAAAUGUCAAGGAGUGAAAGUGAUCAUGUGUAUAUUUAUUAUGUCAUCAUAAUAAAUCUAUGGGGGACCAGACACUGAUAUGACUGUUGUAAUGAUGAGCAAAGAAGAAAUUUUAAAGAUACAAAAUGGGAAUUUUCUAUGGAAAACCACACAAAUAUUUAUCUGCUUAUUGGAAUUCUGAGUGAACUUCUCUAUCAAUGACAUCUGCUGGG
rnacentral:lncRNA from 1 species